UUGAGUAUUGCGUCAUCCCAGCGCAGCCACGCAUUACUUUCCGCCCCCCGCACAGUCGUCGGUAGCGCCGCAUCGCCGGCACACGCCGUUUUCGAGUAGUGACCCGUGAUUUGUUUUCAUAUCAUCACGAUGAGGAUCUAUAAACGAACGACUGAACGAUGAAGAAAUAAGACCCUUUCCUAAAGCGGCGCCACGUUUAGAUAAUAGUAGAAAUACUCGGAAACGUAAAAGUACUAUACUAUACAGGGUGUCACAGAAUGGGUGAAUCAAACUUCUAGGGGAAGUAGCUCUACUAAUGUACUAUCCCAAAAAAAUAUGAAAAAAAAAAAAUUUGAGUUCGGAUUUUUUUAAAGUAAAGUGCUCUAAACUCGAAAUCUAGUCAUUAUUUUCAAAAGUUUGUUUACAGAUAAACGAAGCGAUCAUGUACAAUUAAUAUUAGUAAGAAAAAAGUACAAAUAAACUCCAAACGCAGCAAUUAUAGCCAGAUACUUAGGCAAAGCUGAUUUAUUUUCACUUUAAAAAAAAUUGUGUCCUUAUGCGCUU